CGGCGGACGGGUGAGUAAUGUAUGGGGAUCUGCCUGAUGGCGGGGGAUAACUACUGGAAACGGUAGCUAAUACCGCAUAAUGUCUACGGACCAAAGCGGGGGACCUCCGGGCCUCGCGCCAUCAGAUGAACCCAUAUGGGAUUAGCUUGUAGGUAAGGUAACGGCUUACCUAGGCGACGAUCCCUAGCUGGUCUGAGAGGAUGAUUAGCCACACUGGGACUGAGACACGGCCCAG
rnacentral:rRNA from 1 species